UACGGAGGAUGCAAGCGUUAUCCGGAAUGAUUGGGCGUAAAGCGUUUUAAGGUGGUUUGGUAAGUCUACUGUUAAAUAUCAGGCUUAACCCUGAACAGGCAGUGGAAACUGCAAGCUUGAGUACGGUAGGGGCAAAGGGAAUUCCCGGUGUAGCGGUGAAAUCGCGUAGAUAUCGGGAAGAACACCAAAGGCGAAAGCAGCAUUUGCUGGGCCGACACUGACACUGAGAGACGAAGCU
rnacentral:rRNA from 1 species